rnacentral:rRNA from 1 species
GAGCGCAGCCAACUGUGUGAAUUAAUGUGAACUGCAUACUGCUUUGAACAUCGACAUCUUGAACGCAUAUUGCGGCUACGGGAUAUCCUGUGGCCACGUCUGUCCGAGGGUCGGCUUUUCAUCUAUCACGACGCACUUUAAGUCGUGGAUUGGGCGAGUGCCUGCCGGCGUAUACCCGUAUAUCAACGCGGGUUGCUGGUCAAAGGCUCCGUCCGAAUUUGUCCGGCCACAGCCUAGUCUGGUGUAGAACUUCUGAUUGAGUCCCCACGGUGGGUUGUGCUCGAGUCGUGGCUUAAUGAUAUACACAUAUACAGAUAUACAAACGCUCGAGAGUACAUGACCUAUCGUGAAUACACACGUAUAUAUAUAAAUGAAAGGCUCUAUUGGAGGUCUAUACAUAGUCUAUGGUUGCACCGAGGGUGUGUUAUACACAUUAUCAAUCUUACCCUGACCUCGGAUCAGA